rnacentral:rRNA from 1 species
GACGAACGCUGGCGGCGUGCCUAAUACAUGCAAGUCGAACGCAGUGGGGACGGGUGAGUAACCCGUGGGUAACCUCCCAUCAGAGGGGAUAACACUUGGCAACAGGUGCUAAACCGAUACUGACGGUAGGACCCGCGGUGCAUCAGCUAGUUGGUGAGGUAACGGCUCACCAAGGCCACGAGGCAUAGCCGACCUUGGAGGGGGAUGGGCCACACUGGGACUGAGACACGGCCCAGACUCCUACGGCAGGCCGCAGUAGGGAAUCUUCGGCAAUGGACGAAAGUCUGACCGAGCAACGCCGCGUAAGGGAAGAAGGUUUUCGGAUCGUAAAACUCUGUUGUUAGAGAAGCGGUAUCUAACCAGAAAGCAACGGCUAACUACGUGCCAGCAGCCGCGGUAAUAC